rnacentral:tRNA from 1 species
GGGGAUGUGGCUCAGCCGGUUAGAGCGCUUCGUUCACAUCGAAGAGGCCGGGGGUUCGAAUCCCUCCAUCCCCACCA